rnacentral:lncRNA from 1 species
UCGAAUUCCAUUCAGCUCAUAUCACUAUAAUAAAGUGUCUUCAAGGAUAUUAAUUAGUUGAAAUUGACACCAUACUUGGGCUGUUGAUUGGGAAGAAACAUUCCAAAGAACUUUUCAAACUCAGGACUCUUCUGAUUCUCAUCGAACAUACCGAAUAUAUAAGUCUCGAUAGGUCUCCCUUGUCUUCUAGGAGAUCCACUCUUCACAGUUUGUAUCAAAUUGUUCACAUAAGUCCUUGCAUUAUCCACAUUUGUCGCGGUUCCUCCAGCUGUCGGCCAACCACUCUCCGAGACCACAAUCUCCACCGAUCCUCCUCCUGUUUUCUCCAAUGCCGCAUAAACAGUGUCUACGAGUGCGUGGAAGAGGUUUCGGUAUGCGUUUGACCCAUCAUUGACUACAGUGGACGGUGAAGUGAACAGAGCAUAGUCCAAACGGAUGUCUCUCAUGUUGUUGAUGUAGCUGAAGUAAGGGUAGACAUUCACGAGUAGUGGAGAUUGCUUGCUCACCAAGAAAGCUAUCACGGGAGCGAUAAAGUUUCUAAAUUCAGGUGUGAAUGUCCCACUCGAAGGAGGAAACCCACUAAUGCCUCUGGUGUCUAUAGCCGUGGAGACCUUGAUCCCGAGGCCUGAAACCGCUCUAUCGAUGUUCUGCAUGGCGGGGAGGACGAACCUCGAGGUUGGGUCCGAGGGUUGCACCUCGUUCCCGACCGAGAUGUAACGGAACCUUACACCGUUGAAGUUGCGGACGUUGUUGCGGACCCACGUGUCAGCUUCCGCUUGGCUGGAGGCGAUACGCUGGAGAUCAGGGUUGGGAACAUCGAGCAGAAGGUCGAUGUUAGAGCCUCGCAGAGCGGAGAGAACCUCUUGGUUGGGAUCGUAAAGCCGCAUGCGACGGAUGUUACGGUUGCGGUAAAGAGCCACCGCAUCAGCCGGACGUGGCAGGUUGUUUCCUAUUCUCCCGUAGCACACUCCGAUUUGCGCAGCUACAUAUAUGUAUAUCAAAUUAAUAAUCAUUAUUAAUAGAAAUAAGAUUUACAAUGAUAUUAUCGAUAUCGAUAGGUUAAAGAAGGUAGCUAAACCUGCCGUGUGGAAGAAGGAAGCCAUUAAGAAGCUAAGAAGAAGCAAUAACAAUGGUAGUGAGGCUAAGAACCUCGAUUGAUCACUAGACAUCUUCAUGAAAUAACAAUUGAAGAUGAUCUUAUAAUUUCGAGUUUUGUAUGCUUAGAUGCUUAAAACCGUAGCAUUUUGCGCCUAAUUUAUAGAGGGAAUCGGUGAUCUUAGUCAAUGAAAUGAAACAAAAAGUCAUCGCGUCAUAUCAUCACUAGCUGUGGAAUGUUGUAAAUUAAAUCACCGUUCAUGCAUAUCUCACUAAAUUCAUGCUUUGAAAAGUCUUGUAAGUGUGAGUUUUCUCCACAUGUAAGAGCAGCCCAUCGAUGCGAUCCUAUAAUUAAUGAUUUUUAUAUAUAUAAAGAAAAUUCAAUCAUAUAUGUGAUGGCAUAUGGAGGGAGAUGUUUUCAUAGGUUUCAUGUAAGCUUUAGAGAUAUGAGAACAUAUUUUCAUCGUUCUCCAAUGUUUUAAAAAAACAAUCUAGAUACCCACUAAAUUAAUCUCCUAAUAACAGCUUGGACCUUAAAGAAAAUAGUUUUUGGAUCCUUUACGUUUUUUUUUUGCUUUAGGCUGCAUAAAAAAAAUUAAACCUUUAUGUGUAAUUUUCUGUUGGUAGAUUUUGUUAUGGAACCAAAAGAAAUAAUAUACAUAUAAAAUAAUUUAUGAUUCUUUCUCAAUCUUGUUUUUGUUUUUCUUUGUAAUCCUCUUAUUUUUGUAUAGUUUCGAAAUGCUUAUAUGUUUUUUUUUUUGUUAAAAUGAUAUAGGUGGCUUUAUUUAAUUAUUAGGAUAUGUGAUUGAGCGGGGUGUCGCACUCCAUAAACCUAGCCGGCCCUUGAUGUAGCUCUCAAUAAGGCCUAACCAGCUAGACACUAAAAUCUUACUGUUAAAUGGAACGAAUCGUCCACCGCCUCAAAUUCAAAAAUACCGAGUCUCAAAGACUCAAAGUUUGUGUGGAAACUGCAACUUAUGUUUUUGAAAAUAGGCCAGAUUAAAAUAGUUCAUCCAGAUAACAUAUUUUUAUUUUUUUUUAAAUUUCUCAAAAAAAUAUAAACAAAAUAAUAUAUUAAAUAUAAAUUUGAUUAACAUAUGUCAGGAUACCUAAACUUAACAUAUAAUUAUUUUAGUUCAAAUAUUUGGAUAGAUAAUCAAUAAUUAUUUUAAGUAUUUUUAGUGUUUUAAGUAUACUUUUACUAUUUUAUAUAUUUACUAUUGGUUAUUUGUAUAUAUUUUCAAGUAUUUAAACCAGCUUAAAAGUAUCAUAUAUAUUCUAUAUGUUUUUAUAUAUAUUAAAUCUAAAAAUAAUUAAUAUAUAUAAGUAUAUAAAUCUAUUUCAGAUACAUUCGGAUAUUCGGAAUACUUCCAUUCGGAUCGGAUUUGGUUUCAGCUCUCCAAAAACUAAAAUUUGAAUAAUUCGGACAUUUAACCAAAAACUUAAAACGAUGAAAAUGCAAAACAGCAUAUAAAGAAGAACUCAAUCACGAUUCACGAUCAACGGUGAAAUUCCUCUAAAACCGAUCUGAUGAUGAUGCAUCAAAAAGCUGUCAGACUUAAAUAAAAAAUAUAUAUAUAUAUAUAUAUAUCUUAUAUGUGUGUGUGUGAAACCUUAUCAUGUACACAUUAUUCAACAACCUAGUUACGAUAAAGAUGAUGAAGAUAAGUUUGAUGAAAUUCCAAUGCCAAAUAUGUCGAUGAUGAUGAGAAUCAUGAAAUGGACAUUUUGCCUCAAAUCGUGAUCAUGUGGGAACAAGAUUAUUGUGAGCGAAUGUGUGUAUUCUGCAGUAAAACCAUGAUCACGGAUUACUUUAAGAAGAUAUCUUUUUACUGAGAAACAUACAUUGAAAAAUAAGAUGACUAAAUUUUAAGAGGCAUUUGAGCUAUAGCAGGAGAACAAUAUAACCAUUAAGCAUGACUUGAAUUGAAUGAAACACAUAAUAAAUUCCUAUAUGUUAAACAAUAGAUGUGCGGCAUUAUACAACUAUAUGGAAAUGAGAAUACAACUAUCUAGAAAAUAUAAGUGGUCUAAAAAUUGUUUUAGGCGUUAGACUCUCUAGAACCAUAGAGUUUUUUUUAUAAAACGCCUAGGUAAUUAUAAUAGGGUAAUAAUAAAUAAUAAAUAACUUAGUGUUUAUAAAUUGUAGUAAUUACUUUAUUUUAAUAUAAAAUUUUAUAAAAACAAGUAAUAUGAACAUUAGUAUUCGUAAAUCAUGAUACUUAAUCUAUUAUUAGUUAGUCAGUCUAUACGUUUACGGUUUACCAAUUAUAUAUAUAGUAUAUUGUUAUAAUUGGUAAACCGUAAUCAUUUAGGCCAACUAACUAAUAAUUUACUCGUCGGAUAGGUGUUAGGCGUUGAAUCACUAUUCGCUUAACGUCUAAUGAUUUCUUGAACACUAGACUAAAUUGUAGAAUAAACAAAUUUUUAUUUGAAUUGAUUAUAAAAUUGAUAUAACAGAAUAAUAUAUAUAUAUAUAUAUUUAUUUAAUCAUCAAAUACUGAAAAAUAUGAGUGAUUAAUAGUGUCUUCAAUCUUUUUUAUCCAACAUAUCUGAACAUGAAUGAAUUCACACAGUCUUUUGCCUUCUUCACAUCUAUCUAUUUUCUUCUCAUUACACACAACCACAAAGAUAUAAAUAGAUGUUAGGAAAAAAUGUAUAUGCUGAAUGAAUAUAAAUAUAAAUUUAUAUAAAAUUUACAAUUAUUGCCAAAACUUACUCGGAUCUUAAGCUGAAAUACAACGAAUAUUAACACAUUCAAUUCGCAUUGUUUCCCACAUUACUUAGAAUGUUUACCAAAACAUCCGAAUGAAUCUGGUUCGAAUGGACCACUGAUACGUAUGUUAACAAAAAUAUUGAAACGAGUUCAUGCAUGUACCCGAGACGCAGAAUAUAAGGAUGGACAGUCUGGCACACAAUGUCCGGAAACAAUUGUCCGGAAACAAUUGUAUACCUCAUAUUUAAUCAUAUGCAAAACUAACUUAAAAAAGUGAAAACUUAUUAUUUACCCUUUAUGACAAAACAAAAAAAAUCAGGAAUUAUUUUACGAUUCUGACUUUCGCAAGAAUAUCUGGUCCAUCUGCAAAUUCUAUUGUAUAAUCCAAAAAGUAUAUACAGUAGAACCUCCAUAAAUUAUUAAAGUUGGUACUUUGAAAUUUUAUUAAUUUAUAGAGAUAUUAAUUUAAAAAAAUUCAUUAUUAGAUUUCUUAUUUUAAGAUAUAUUUAUUUAAGAUAAGAAAAAUAUUUGAUUUUUGUGCAUAGACAUUAAUUGUUAUUUUUUUUUAAAUCUGACAUUUAUAUUAAUUUUAUUAUAUUAUUUGGUGUAUAUAAUAUAUAUUGUAUUGAACUUAAAUGUGGUUUUAGAUAUAAUAUUACUAAAUAUCAUCAAAAAUAUAUGAAGUGUUAAGAAAAAGUAAAUAUAAUUUCAUUGUUAAUAUAAAACAAACAAUAUAGUAAUAGGUUCUUACUUAUAUAAAAUAUGUAUACAUAUGAACUAUCAAUACAUAUAAACUAUUAAUUUAUAUAUUUACAUAGAAUUUUCUAAGAAAAUAUUAUCUUAUUAUUUUAUUGGUUUCUGUCAAAUUAUAAGUUUAUUAAUUUUCUUGUCUCAUUAUUUCUUAUUAUUGUUACAUGUUUCCCACUUUUUGGAAUCUUUAUUAAUACAAGCCCUCGAAUUCCAUUCAGCUCAUAUCACUAUAAUAAAGUGUCUUCAAGGAUAUUAAUUAGUUGAAAUUGACACCAUACUUGGGCUGUUGAUUGGGAAGAAACAUUCCAAAGAACUUUUCAAACUCAGGACUCUUCUGAUUCUCAUCGAACAUACCGAAUAUAUAAGUCUCGAUAGGUCUCCCUUGUCUUCUAGGAGAUCCACUCUUCACAGUUUGUAUCAAAUUGUUCACAUAAGUCCUUGCAUUAUCCACAUUUGUCGCGGUUCCUCCAGCUGUCGGCCAACCACUCUCCGAGACCACAAUCUCCACCGAUCCUCCUCCUGUUUUCUCCAAUGCCGCAUAAACAGUGUCUACGAGUGCGUGGAAGAG